rnacentral:ribozyme from 1 species
UCUGCUCGUCGGUGGCCUCGAGUCGCCUCCCUACUCGCCGCCGCUCUCCCCGUGCGCCUCUCCGCCCUACUCGCCGCCGCUCUCGCCCAGCGCUUCGCCGCCCGCCUCGCCGCGCACCACCGGCCGCGCAGAACAGCGCUCGCGCAAGACCGGCGACAAGUCCACCACCACCACCACCUCCUCCUCCUCCUCCAGCGGCAGCUCGUCGUCGGUGCG